rnacentral:lncRNA from 1 species
AAUGCUACCGCCGCUUUCCCAACCAGAACUUCUCUCUCUCCGGCGCAAGACCUCCGCCUGCCCCUUCCCGCUCCCAUCAUAACAACCCUUCCUCCUCCUCCUCCUCCUCUUCCGCCGCCGCCGCCGUAGCAGCUCUCGCCCAACCCGCAGCUCCUUCCUUCUCUCCCAUCCACUCCCCCAAGUCCGAACUCGCCGCCAAUUUCUCGGGUCGAAGCUCCACCCGGGUCGUCUCCAAGUUCCAUCUUGGCCGACCCAGGUCAACGGCCGGCUCCCGCCACUCUCAAAUCUCCGAGGAGGCGCUUCGGCAGGUGAUCGAUUACGGGAAAGACGAAUUGACGAUUGAGAACGUGCUGCUCGCCUUCGAGUCACGCCUCUGCAGCUCGGCUGUCUAUAUCUACAUGCUCCGGGAGCUUGGGUGCAGCUGCUCGCCUUCGAGUCACGCCUCUGCAGCUCGGAUGACUAUAUCUACAUGCUCCGGGAGCUUGGCAACAAUGGGGAUUGGGGGAGGGCACUGUGCUGCUUCGAGUUCGCCAUCAAGAGGGAAAAAAGGAAGCUGGGGAAGGGGAAAUUAGCG